rnacentral:rRNA from 1 species
AAACGACUCUCGGCAACGGAUAUCUCGGCUCUCGCAUCGAUGAAGAACGUAGCGAAAUKCGAWACYUGGUGUKAAWUGCAGAAUCCCSUGAACCAWCGAGUCUUUGAACGCAAGUUGCGCCCGAAGCCGUCAGGUUGAGGGCACGUCUGCCUGGGCGUCACA